rnacentral:rRNA from 1 species
AAUCAACGCUGGCGGCGUGCCUCAGACAUGCAAGUCGAACGAUUAAAGCUCUCUUCGGAGAGUGCAUAGAGUGGCGCACGGGUGAGUAACACGUAAGUAAUCUACCUUCGAGUGGGGAAUAACGUCCGGAAACGGACGCUAAUACCGCAUAAUGCAGCGGCAUCGUAAGAUGACAGUUGUUAAAGAUUUAUCGCUUGAAGAGGAGCUUGCGGCAGAUUAGCUAGUUGGUAAGGUAAUGGCUUACCAAGGCUACGAUCUGUAACCGGUCUUAGAGGACGGUCGGUCACACUGACACUGAAUAACGGGUCAGACUCCUACGGGAGGCAGCAGUCGGGAAUUUGGGCAAUGGGCGAAAGCCUGACCCAGCAACGCCGCGUGAAGGAUGAAGUAUUUCGGUAUGUAAACUUCGAAAGAAUAGGAAGAAUAAAUGACGGUACUAUUAUAAGGUCCGGCUAACUACGUGCCAGCAGCCGCGGUAAU